GACGAACGCUGGCGGCGUGCUUAACACAUGCAAGUCGAACGGAAAGGCCCUGCUUUUGUGGGGUGCUCGAGUUGCGAACGGGUGAGUAACACGUGAGUAACCUGCCCUUGACUUUGGUAUAACUUCAGGAAACUGGGGCUAAUACCGGAUAGGAUCUCCUGCUUCAUGUUGUGGGUUGGAAAGUUUCGGCGGUUGGGGAUGGACUCGCGGCUUAUCAGCUUGUUGGUGGGGUAGUGGCUUACCAAGGCUUUGACGGGUAGCCGGCCUGAGAGGGUGACCGGCCACAUUGGGACUGAGAUAAGGCCCAGACUCCUACGGGAGGCAGCAGUGGGGAAUAGUGCACAAUGGGCGGAAGCCUGAUGCAGCAAAGCAGCGUGCGGGAUGACGGCCUUCGGGUUGUAAACCGCUUUCGCCUGUGACGAAGCGUGAGUGACGGUAAUGGGUAAAGAAGCACCGGCUAACUACGUG
rnacentral:rRNA from 1 species